rnacentral:rRNA from 1 species
CCUACGGGUGGCAGCAGUGGGGAAUAUUGGACAAUGGGGGCAACCCUGAUCCAGCCAUGCCGCGUGUGUGAAGAAGGCCCUCGGGUUGUAAUGCACUUUCAGUGAGGAAGAACGCCUGGUGGUUAAUACCCAUCAGGAAAGACAUCACUCACAGAAGAAGCACCGGCUAACUCCGUGCCAGCAGCCGCGGUAAUACGGAGGGUGCGAGCGUUAAUCGGAAUUACUGGGCGUAAAGCGCGCGUAGGUGGCUUGAUAAGCCGGUUGUGAAAGCCCCGGGCUCAACCUGGGAACGGCAUCCGGAACUGUCAAGCUAGAGUGCAGGAGAGGAAGGUAGAAAUCCCGGUGUAGCGGUGAAAUGCGUAGAGAUCGGGAGGAAUACCAGUGGCGAAGGCGGCCUUCUGGACUGACACUGACACUGAGGUGCGAAAGCGUGGGUAGCAAACAGGAUUAGAUACCCGAGUAGUC